rnacentral:rRNA from 1 species
UACGAGGGAUCCUAGCGUUGUUCGGAAUCAUUGGGCGUAAAGGGUGCGUAGGCGGCCAUGUAAGUCAGUUGUGAAAUCCCCGGGCUCAACCCGGGAAGUGCUUCUGAUACUGCUUGGCUUGAGUAUUGGAGAGGUGGAGUGAAUUCCAGGUGUAGUGGUGAAAUACGUAGAUAUCUGGAGGAACACCGGCGGCGAAGGCGGCUCACUGGCCAUAUACUGACGCUGAAGCACGAAAGCGUGGGAUCAAACAGGAGUUA